GUCUAUGGUCAUGCCACCCUGAACAAGUCCGAUUCUGUCUGAUCUUGGAAGAUAAGCAGGGUUGGGCCUGGUUAGUACUUGGAUGGGAGACCAUCUAAAAAGAUCAGGUGGUGUAGGCG
rnacentral:rRNA from 1 species